GAUGAACGCUAGCGACAGGCUUAACACAUGCAAGUCGAGGGGCAGCAGGGGAGUAGCAAUACUCCCGCUGGCGACCGGCGCACGGGUGAGUAACACGUAUGCAAUCUGCCCUUGUCAGGGGGAUAAGCGGAAGAAAUUCCGUCUAAUACCGCAUAAUGCUGCGGGGAGACAUCUCCCUGCAGCCAAAGAUUUAUCGGACAAGGAUGGGCAUGCGGCGCAUUAGCUGGUUGGCGGGGUAACGGCCCACCAAGGCGACGAUGCGUAGGGGUUCUGAGAGGAAGGUCCCCCACACUGGUACUGAGACACGGACCAGACUCCUACGGGAGGCAGCAGUGAGGAAUAUUGGUCAAUGGCCGGGAGGCUGAACCAGCCAAGUCGCGUGAGGGAAGACGGUCCUAUGGAUUGUAAACCUCUUUUGUCAGGGAGCAAAAACUGCCACGCGUGGCAGGAUGAGAGUACCUGAAGAAAAAGCAUCGGCUAACUCCGUGCCAGCAGCCGCGGUAAUACGGAGGAUGCGAGCGUUAUCCGGAUUUAUUGGGUUUAAAGGGUGCGUAGGCGGACAGUUAAGUCAGCGGUAAAAUUGAGAGGCUCAACCUCUUCCCGCCGUUGAAACUGAUUGUCUUGAGUGGGCGAGAAGUAUGCGGAAUGCGUGGUGUAGCGGUGAAAUGCAUAGAUAUCACGCAGAACUCCGAUUGCGAAGGCAGCAUACCGGCGCCCAACUGACGCUGAAGCACGAAAGCGUGGGUAUCGAACAGGAUUAGAUACCCUGGUAGUCCACGCAGUAAACGAUGAAUACUAAUUGUUCGGGCCAAAUGAGAUCUGAGUGAUACAGCGAGAGCGUUAAGUAUUCCACCUGGGGAGUACGCCGGCAACGGUGAAACUCAAAGGAAUUGACGGGGGCCCGCACAAGCGGAGGAACAUGUGGUUUAAUUCGAUGAUACGCGAGGAACCUUACCCGGGCUCAAACGACACAGGAAUGAUCUGAGAAAUCAGGCAGUCCUCCGGGACCUGUGUCGAGGUGCUGCAUGGUUGUCGUCAGCUCGUGCCGUGAGGUGUCGGCUUAAGUGCCAUAACGAGCGCAACCCCCAUCGACAGUUGCCAGCAGGUGAAGCUGGGCACUCUGUCGAGACUGCCGGCGCAAGCUGUGAGGAAGGCGGGGAUGACGUCAAAUCAGUACGGCCCUUACGUCCGGGGCGACACACGUGUUACAAUGGCAGGUACAGCGGGAAGCCACCUGGCGACAGGGAGCGGAACCCGAAAGCCUGUCUCAGUUCGGAUUGGAGUCUGCAACUCGACUCCAUGAGGCUGGAUUCGCUAGUAAUCGCGCAUCAGCCACGGCGCGGUGAAUACGUUCCCGGGCCU
rnacentral:rRNA from 1 species